rnacentral:rRNA from 1 species
CCUACGGGGGGCAGCAGUGAGGAAUAUUGGUCAAUGGACGAGAGUCUGAACCAGCCAAGUAGCGUGAAGGAUGACUGCCCUAUGGGUUGUAAACUUCUUUUAUAUGGGAAUAAAAUGUUCCACGUGUGGGAUUUUGUAUGUACCAUAGGAAUAAGGAUCGGCUCACUCCGUGCCAGCAGACGCGGUAAUACGGAGGAUCCGAGCGUUAUCCGGAUUUAUUGGGUUUAAAGGGAGCGUAGGUGGGUUGUUAAGUCAGUUGUGAAAGUUUGCGGCUCAACCGUAAAAUUGCAGGUGAAACUGGCAGUCUUGAGUACAGUAGAGGUGGGCGGAAUUCGUGGUGUAGCGGUGAAAUGCUUAGAUAUCACGAAGAACUCCGAUUGCGAAGGCAGUUCACUGGACUGCAACUGACACUGCGUCUCGAAAGUGUGGGUAUCAAACAGGAUUAGAUACCCGAGUAGUC